GGGCCUGUAGCUCAGGGGAUAGAGCACUGGUUUCCGGUACCAGGUGUCGGAGGUUCGAAUCCUUCCAGGCCCGCCC
rnacentral:tRNA from 1 species